UAUAGAGCAAAAACAGGAAAUGCCUUGGUGUGUAAUUACAGUCUAUUACUUACAGAUGUCAUCAGACAGACACACAGAGCAGAUCAUGGCUUUAAGUAGGAUAGGAGGGCUGUUAUCUAGCAUAGUCAUAGCUAAAGUAUGUCCUCAUAGACUAAAAUACUGCACUUCUCCUGACAUUCAGGACUAUACUGAUUCGCAAGGACUUGCUUUUGAAAUAUAAUUAGUCAUAUUCAAGAACAGUGAAUAAAGACGUCAAGUGGUUUCGCCUGCAGUAUCAGUCAUGAUGAAGGAGAGUGGAAGAAGCCAUGUUAUUGGGACACAGCUUAUGACGUGUCAAUUGUGGGCAUUUUAUAUUAGUGAAAGUUAAAAGCUGGGAAAAGUGGAUCCUUGGGACGUGCAACUCUGACGUUGCCCCAUUGAAGUUGAAAUGUAAAAUGGCUACGGUAAGGGUUAAGGUUAGGUAAGGGUUAAGGAUUUAGGCUAGGGACAUCCCAAGGAUACCAGAUAGCACUAAAAGCUGUUAUAUUACAGGAUCAUGUGCAGAAACAACAAAUGGAUGACACAGUGGGUACUAGUGUUGUAACCCUUCAUGCAUUUCACUUGAUUUGGGGUCAGUUUUGAACAAGAGAAGGUGAGUCUCAACUGUGUCUCAGGUCUAACUUCCAGUGUGUACUCAUUCAGCAGAGCUCCAAGCACAAUGUUAUGUUAUGUUCAAUUCCUGGGAAGUAACAACUCAGAAGCAUUUGUUUCACUAAACAUGGGUAAUGUUUAUUUUCGCUAGCGAGACACCUUGAGGAGAAAAUGCUCACUUCCUUGGUGAUGUUCAGCUUUCAGGAAACCCCUCUGUUACACCAAGCAGCAAAUGGGCAGCGCUGAAGUCACUCCUAACCACUGAUCUAUGAUCAGAUAUAUCUUUCAUCCCCCUCAUGGUUUAGGUUAGGGUGUGGGGUAAAGUAUCUGAUCCCAGAUCUGUGGUUAAUGGUAACUUCUACCUGGAGCCAGGAACGCCAGGGGAGGAGGGUCAUCCCAAAAGCGUUAUAGAGUUCUUCAGAGACAGAGAGCCUGGGGCCUGCUCAGUGAGGUGAAACAUUACCCAACGUUGCAGAUGGAAACAGAAUAUAUAGAGCUGACAAGAUUCCCUGAUUCCCAACAUAACAGAGAAUCCUAUCUACUCUACACAAUGCAUUUGCUAUCUGAAUGUUGUGUAACGUUGAAGCCUCCUGAACAGGCCCCAGCUUUAGCCUGAGGUACGGUACAGUACAUUAACAACAGAAUAAAAGACAAGUUACCGACAGCUACCAAGGCGACAGCUACCAAGGCGACUGUUACCGCAGAGCAGAUUUCUCCUCAGACAAAUGCACUUCAGAGUUACAUAAUAAUCAUGAGAAAUUAAACAAACAUGUGCAUUAACUGCCGUUCACCCAGCUCACUACAUCAUCCAUCUCAUCGUUUGAUACACAGAAACAGAUGCAGAAAUAAAGGGGCGGGAGUAAGGGCCGGGUUCGUCUAAUGAUUGGCAUUAUUUUGGGCGUGUCCUGUCAUUUCUCUCACCUGUCAAUCAAUCACAAGCCGAGUGCAGAUUCAAGUAAAUGGUUUUGUUACACAUUAUACAUUUUUGAAUCUUGUCUGAAGGUGCUGAAGUUCAUGGGGGGAGGGGAACUACCUUUUUGAAUCUUGUCCGAAGGUGCUGAAGUUCAUGGGGGGAGGGGAACUACAUUUUUCUUCCCCAAAAUUUGGGAGGUAUUAAAAACUUAACAAAAAACGACAAAUAAUCUGGUGAAAGCCUCAGAAAAAGCAACUACACUGGUUAGUCAGUUAGUUAUAACAAACAGAAGUCCAGAGAGAAAGUGCUUUAAGAGAGUUAUUGGAGAGUUAAGGGUAUUGGUAGAGGCUGUUUUAGAAGGACUGAAAGUGCUUUAAGAGAGUUAUUAGAGAGUUCAGGGUAUUGGUAGAGGCUGUUUUAGAAGGACUGAAAGUGCUUUAAGAGAGUUAUUAGAGAGUUCAGGGUAUUGGUAGAGGCUGUUUUAGAAGGACUGAAAGUGCUUUAAGAGAGUUAUUAGAGAGUUCAGGGUAUUGGUAGAGGCUGUUUUAGAAGAGAGUUAUUAGAGAGUUCAGGGUAUUGGUAGAGGCUGUUUUAGAAGAGAGUUAUUAGAGAGUUCAGGGUAUUGGUAGAGGCUGUUUUAGAAGAGAGUUAUUAGAGAGUUCAGGGUAUUGGUAGAGGCUGUUUUAGAAGAGAGUUAUUAGAGAGUUCAGGGUAUUGGUAGAGGCUGUUUUAGAAGAGAGUUUAAAGUGAGUAAAGUUCUUUCCUUUCCCCCAGACAGGAACACUGGGGUACAUCACCAGAGAACUGAUACAGGCGAGUCCGUCGUCGUGUUCAAGUCACGAGAUACGACGUCGUCGUCUUGUUGUUGUUGUCUUCAGCAGAAAAGAUGGCAAAACCCUUAGUUUCCGUGUGGUUAGGCUAAUUAUUUAAGGUCCUAUGUCAUUAGUGUUUGCCUUCUAGCAGGGAGUUCUCUGUAUGUUUACUGUUGAUUUCUAUUCCGCUCCUGAGGAAAGAAAGAGAGAGAGGGGAAAAUAAACCAAAUUAGAGGAUGCAUAAGUGGGAGGGGAAAAAACACAUGGAAUGCUGUUAGAAAACAUCCUCAGGGAAAUUAGUAUUUCUUUGACUGAAUCGCUUGUCCUCCGUUUAUGUGAUAAAAGCUCAGUGAUGCAAGACAUUGCAAGUUAAACAUCGAAGGGCCAAAUCCCCAAGGAACAUACAUGCACUUCACUUCAACAUUUGUGUAUGUCACACAGUGGUGUCAACUGAAGAGUUCUACCAAGAUGAGUUCUUGCUUGUGGAACUCUGAGUGACGAUUCAAACUCUCCUUUCUUUGAAAGGCUAGUUUCUGUAACUGUAAUCCUCAUAAUGGCUGAGUAUUCCCUUAACUGUUAAUGAUGACGGGUGACUGAUUUUCACCAGCUGAUGACGACUAGGGCUUAUAGAGCAUGGGCAGACCAGCUGAUGACGACUAGGGCUUAGAGCAUGGGCAGACCAGCUGAUGACGACUAGGGCUUAGAGCAUGGGCAGACCAGCUGAUGACGACUAGGGCUUAGAGCAUGGGCAGACCAGCUGAUGACGACUAGGGCUUAUAGAGCAUGGGCAGACCAGCUGAUGACGACUAGGGCUUAGAGCAUGG
ensembl:lncRNA